GGGGGCCCGCAAGCGGUGGAGCAUGUGGUUUAAUUCGAUGCAACGCGAAGAACCUUACCUACUCUUGACAUCCAGAGAACUUAGCAGAGAUGCUUUGGUGCCUUCGGGAACUCUGAGACAGGUGCUGCAUGGCUGUCGUCAGCUCGUGUUGUGAAAUGUUGGGUUAAGUCCCGCAACGAGCGCAACCCUUAUCCUUUGUUGCCAGCGGUUAGGCCGGGAACUCAAAGGAGACUGCCAGUGAUAAACUGGAGGAAGGUGGGGAUGACGUCAAGUCAUCAUGGCCCUUACGAGUAGGGCUACACACGUGCUACAAUGGCGCAUACAAAGAGAAGCGAACUCGCGAGAGCAAGCGGACCUCAUAAAGUGCGUCGUAGUCCGGAUCGGAGUCUGCAACUCGACUCCGUGAAGUCGGAAUCGCUAGUAAUCGUGGAUCAGAAUGCCACGGUGAAUACGUUCCCGGGCCUUGUACACACC
rnacentral:rRNA from 1 species